ensembl:snRNA U1 U1 spliceosomal RNA
AUAUUUAACCUGGCAGGGAAGAUACCAUGAUCACAAAGGUGGUCUUCCCAGGGUGAGGUUUAUCCAUUACACUCCGGAUGUGCUGGCCCCUGCAGUCUCCCCAAAUUUGGAAAACUUGACUGCAUACUUUGUGGUAGUGGGGGGACUGUGUUCUCACAACCCUGAA